UGCAGUCGAGCGGACAGAAGGGAGCUUGCUCCCGGAUGUUAGCGGCGGACGGGUGAGUAACACGUGGGUAACCUGCCUGUAAGACUGGGAUAACUCCGGGAAACCGGAGCUAAUACCGGAUAGUUCCUUGAACCGCAUGGUUCAAGGAUGAAAGACGGUUUCGGCUGUCACUUACAGAUGGACCCGCGGCGCAUUAGCUAGUUGGUGGGGUAAUGGCUCACCAAGGCGACGAUGCGUAGCCGACCUGAGAGGGUGAUCGGCCACACUGGGACUGAGACACGGCCCAGACUCCUACGGGAGGCAGCAGUAGGGAAUCUUCCGCAAUGGACGAAAGUCUGACGGAGCAACGCCGCGUGAGUGAUGAAGGUUUUCGGAUCGUAAAGCUCUGUUGUUAGGGAAGAACAAGUGCGAGAGUAACUGCUCGCACCUUGACGGUACCUAACCAGAAAGCCACGGCUAACUACGUGCCAGCAGCCGCGGUAAUACGUAGGUGGCAAGCGUUGUCCGGAAUUAUUGGGCGUAAAGGGCUCGCAGGCGGUUUCUUAAGUCUGAUGUGAAAGCCCCCGGCUCAACCGGGGAGGGUCAUUGGAAACUGGGAAACUUGAGUGCAGAAGAGGAGAGUGGAAUUCCACGUGUAGCGGUGAAAUGCGUAGAGAUGUGGAGGAACACCAGUGGCGAAGGCGACUCUCUGGUCUGUAACUGACGCUGAGGAGCGAAAGCGUGGGGAGCGAACAGGAUUAGAUACCCUGGUAGUCCACGCCGUAAACGAUGAGUGCUAAGUGUUUAGGGGGUUUCCGCCCCUUAGUGCUGCAGCUAACGCAUUAAGCACUCCGCCUGGGGAGUACGGUCGCAAGACUGAAACUCANGGAAUUGACGGGGGCCCGCACAAGCGGUGGAGCAUGNUGGUUUAAUUCGAAGCAACGCGANAACCUUACCAGGUCUUGACAUCCUCUGANACCCUAGAGAUAGGGCUUUCCCUUCGGGG
rnacentral:rRNA from 1 species